ACUUCAUAAAGUUAAGGUAAGGAGCAAUCUUCUUCCAAAAUAUUCGGAUAAAUUUUUCUCAACACACAAAAUUUUUUGGCAGGGAUAUUUCUCACCUACACAGCAAACAGUCAAAAAAAUGAAAUUUGAGUAUAGCUCUGGUAAAAUUGGCCCUUAUAUAUAUGUUCACUGAACUACAUCUAUUCAGUUUAACAAGAGCCUGGUUCAUAAAUGAAUAUUGAUGCUGAAGACAUCAAGUGACGGGCUACAGAUGGGGAUUGUGAUUUACAACCAAUGGCAGAAGUUAAAUCACUUGAUGUCACCUCCAAUGCAGUCCUUUUCAACAGAACCAAUUUGCAGACCUUGCUGCCAGUUAACAAAUAAUAAGAAAUCUAUGAAGUACUUGGACGUGUACAUCUUCUUCAUGCUGCAGGUCAUGCAGGAAGCAUUAGGAAAAGGAAUCAAAAAUAGGACUUCCAAAACCAUGAUGCCAUUAUAAAAAUGUAUUGCGAUUCUUAGAAAGCUAUGCAUAAUUCUGGCCGUCAUACCUCAAAAUGGACCAGGAACAGGUGCAGCAGCAGAGCAAGACUCCCUGGAGAAAAGGUCUUAGUCUGGAAAAAGAGCCAAUUUGGGGGAAUAUGAUAGAGAUGCAUAAAAUUAUGCAUAGUGUGGCGAAAGAGGCUAGAGAGAGUUUUUCUUCUCAUCUCAUAAUAAUAAUACAACUUAGUGUUAUCCCAUGAAGCUGAAUGUUGGAAGAUUCAAAAAAAAUGAAAGAGAGAUACUUAUUUACACAGUGCAUAGUUAAACUAUGGAAUUUGCUGUCACGGGUUGUAACCAUUGCCUACCAACAUAGAUGCUUUAAAGAGCAGUGAGACAAAUUCAGAGAGGAUAAGGCUAUGCAGCGUUUGUCAUCAUGGUGCCUGUAAGUUGACAGGAUCUAACUACCAGUCACUAGGGAACAACAGUGGGGAAAUGCUAUUGUUUGUGAGCAUCUAGUUGACCACUGUGAAAAAGAGGAUGCUGGAUGCAAUGCUAGUUCAGAUGUGGUCUUGGGUCUAAUACAGCAGGACUUUUCUUAUGUUCCCUGUAAAGUAUCUGGUUCCUUUGAGACUUUAGGUUGCUUGAUCCAGUUCCCAUUAAUGUACUUAUACAAAAAUUUAUGGAAAUUAUUGUCAGCUGGGUCACUUCUAUUGUUCUUGCUUUCUUUUAAAAUUCCCAUUAGUUUUGCAGCUAUAAGGUUUAUUUUCAAACUUUCCAUCGCAGUAAAAUGGCACAGUUUGCUAUUCACCUCAAACAGCAGGGUUAAAUUAUUUCCUUUCCUCUUGAUCACUGUGAAGAAGGGAUAGCAAGACAAGAUUAUUUUAGCAUUUGGCUAAAUAGAUUCUUUGUGAAUUCUGCCCCAAAGCAGUGAGAAUUAAACAAAAAGGAGCAUACUGCCUGAAAAACAGCUGUAAUUUGUAAAUUACAUUGACUCUGCAGAGUGAUCAUUUUACAGGGCUUCUCUCUUGAAGUUCCCUGCAGGCUAAUCUUUAUUCAGGUCCUCUUCUAUAAUGGAGAGCUUCCCCAGACCCCAAACAAUUAUUAAUUAUAGCAAACACACUGUCAAAAUCUAAAACCAGACAGUUUAAGUUAACUUUUGUCAUAAAAGAAAAACAACCCAAUAUUGCAUAGCAGAGUAUUUUCCCAGGGAACUACGGUUAAGGAUGCAGAUACACUAUUAAUUUGACUAGCAAGGUCCUCGCCCAAAGGCACAGAAGUGUCUUCAGCAAGGGAAAGUGGGCUGAGCCACUUGCAACUGUCAAGUGGGAUCCAGGAACCAUGCCAGAGGCCAGCGUUUAGAGGGGAUGUCAUGGGGCUGGCAGAGUCAGGAAAGGAAGCCUUUAUAUCCCUUCCUGCUAAGGAGAACCAAUAACCAGUCUCAAUGGGUGAAGCCACUCUCAGCUGGACCCUUUCAUGUAAACCCAUAUCCCUGGUGACUUGCCACACAAGGCAGCUGCCCACAGAGACACAGAUUCCCAGUUAUCAUCCUAGCAGCUCUUUGCAGGUCAGGAAAUAAAACUACAAGCGGGUCCAGCAUUCUAGAUAUAAAGCUCCUAUCAAUAACUGUUGGGCUUCGCUGAAGAAUCACUGAGAGAGGGUGGAAAUCUUUAUAAAUCCAACAUGGAAAUAACCUAGCUCUUUGUGCCACAUACAAUGGUACCUCGGUUUAAGAACAGCCCUGUUUAUGAACGAUUCGGUUUAUGAACUCCGCAAAACCGAAAGUAGUGUCCUGGUUUGAAAACUUUACCUCAGUCUAAGAAUGGAAUCCGAACAGUGGAAGGGAAACAGCGGCAGGAGGCCUCAUUAGGGAAAGUGUACCUCGGUUUAAGAACGGUUUCAGUUUAAGAAUGGACUUCCAGAAUGGUUAAGUUCGUAAACCGAGGUACCACUGUAUUAUACAGAGGCUGUGAGUUCCAUUUCAAAAUAUUUGACAUAGUCACGGUGCUGGUCAUGUGGGUGUGCUGAUCCCUUAACCCUGAAUAAGUUAAGAGGUUGCAUGUAAAUUCAGAAUUCUCAGACGUUGCCUCUGAUCUUCUUGGGUACUCAGUGCGAAGUAAGAAAGGUGGUACUGUUGUGGCAAAGUGUUUGUUACUGUCUUGGGGCUGAUGUUGUAACUCUCUAUAGCUGGGGUGUGUAUGAGACAGAGCUAGAGAUCCAUGAAUCCAAACACAUCUGUGUGUUUUUUAUUGACAGUAAUGCUUGGAUACAUCUCUUCAUGCUACAGUUUAAAGGCAUUUUUCCUAAAAUCUCACAGGCAUCAAACCAGAGAAAGCAGCUUGAGGAUUUGAAACUAAUACAGAUUUCCAUGACUCAUUCCUAAAAGGACAUUGAUAUAGGUUAUCCUUAUAAGCACUUGAGGCCCAUUUUUAUAAUAAGAUAAUAAGAACAUAAAAAUCCACCUAGUCUAGCAUUUUGUAUCUAAGAGUGGCCACUCUGAUGCCUCUUAGAAACUUACAAGCAAAGAAUGAUGUUUGAUCUCAAUAUCUGGUAGCCAGAGAUAUGCUGACAUGGAUGGUUUCCUAGUGCUAACAUAGAUUGCAUCCAUGAGUUUUAGCAAUUCCACAGGCUAUGUAACAAAAUCCCCCCAAAGUUCUGCUCAGUUCAAUGGUACUUAGUUCCCAGUAAACAUGUGCAAGACUUGCAGCCCAGGUCAUUUCUUUUUAUUUAUAUCCCAUGUUACACCGAAAGGGAUCUACAGUAAACUAACAAAUCAAGGAAUCCAGCUGUUACCAGAGACACAUGGGAUCCAGCUAGAGGGGAAGCUACAGUCAUGCUAUUCCAUUGCUCCAUUUGAAUCAGAAUGCAAAAAUUACUGAAAGCAAAAUAUUUCAGGUGUCACAUUAUGUGGGAAGUACAGUGGUGUAUGUUCAGACUUUCCCAGGUAAGGACCCCAGAGACUGGCUGCUUAAAUGGCAUAGGAAUGGACCUAAGGGAAGCCCUCCUGCUCUGCCAGCCCACAUCCAAACCUGCACUCCCAUUUGUCAAUCCUGGGUGCAGGGUUGGUGCAGGGUUGGCUCCUGAUAGUUGAUGUGGGCUUAUGUCCCCACCGCCCACCCAGACUGGGCAUCGAUCCUGAGCCACCUUCAUUGGGGAUUUUGGAGGUGCCUCCGCUGUCUUGCAACGCCUCCGCACCAAGAGGGUGAGCAGACUUGUCAGAUUCAUCAGUUCAUGAAACUUUGUGCCAUCAGCAGUGCUGUUGAGAUAAAUGGAGCUCUCAAACCAGUCUUGCGACUGGAGAGCUAGUGAAGAUUUUGUAAUCUUGUAGUCACAUCUAUGAAUGAAUUUGCGUGUGUAUUUUCUCAGUCCCAACUGAGAACCCAACCUGAACUGUAGUCUACUGUUGCUGGACUACAGCUCCCAUCAUUUCUUACUAAUGGCCAUGCUGGCUGUGGCAGAUGGGAGUUAGAGUCUAAAGACAUAUGGAAGGACCACAGGUUCCCCCAUUCCUGUUAUAGGUUUGCAUUAAUAAGAACAGAAAUGAAUCCAUAUAUUGCAGAAUCUGCUACCACAGAAACAAAGCAAUUGGAUGCUGAAAAUCAACUGCUUGUCUCAGUUUAGGUGUUGUUUUUCAAAAUCUGUAUCUGGCUCUCACAUGCUUGAGCUACUCCUAGUAAGGAAGGAUACCCAGUUUUCUUUUCUGGCUCAAUUUUUUCUAGCAUAGCUAAAAAAAUUACAAGCUUAGUCAAGUGCUUAUCCUAGACCUUAAACCUAUUGAAUUGUUGACACAUCUAUCUAACACAGAUUGGUGGUUGCAAAUCUUCCAUAUCAUUACAUUUUGCUAUUAUCUGCUGCACUAGGGCCAUCAGGAGUGUCUUCUUUGUCUAGAUUACUUUUUUUUUGUAAAACCGAUGUUGAAUUUUGAAUCUAUUCCCAAAUUCUGAAAUUUUGUUUUUAGUUUUCCAAGUAUCUGAUUUCAACGAAGGAACAACAAACACCAUCUGAGACAACAGCAGAAGAAGAGUCACUUUGGGCAUUAGGUGAAGCCAAGACCUAAUGCUUUCUGUCCUGUGCUUUCCUUCAUAUAUUUUCCAACACAUAACUUCAUAUUCCAGAUUGCAAGAUGUGCAAAUUCCCAAGAAAAUGACAGUUUGCCUAUCUUGUGGCAGGAUGAGAUAUGAAGGUUGAAUCUUGCAUGGUACAGAAGUGACCAGAGAACAGGAAGCUUGAGGAUGCUGUGCUUCCCAUUUCCUCUGAAUUGCCGAAUGUCCAAAGCCACACUAAAAAGCACAUUAAAAAUACACAGCACAUGCAAAAUAGUCUUUCAGUUACACUAAAAUAUGUGAAACCAAAAUGCAACUAACUCUUUUCCCACUGUCUGCUUUUCAAGGUAGAAAUCCCCUAGGAUGUUGCCUCAGUCCAAGUCAGUUUUGUAGACCAUGUACCAUGUCUUAAUACACUGUAUGGGGAUUAAAAAAAUAGCCUUAGCUUUUUUGUUUUCUAUGGUUCUUGUUGUAUAGAAGAAAGACUUAAACUGUAAAUAAUGUAUAUUUAAUAAAGAGAGCCUUUUGUAUGAUUUUGUGUGG